CUGCCCUUUGGCCUGGAAUAACACGAGGAAACUUGUGCUAAUACCGGAUAAGUCUUUACGGAGAAAGCUUUAUGCACCAUUCGGAUGAGCCUGCACUUGAUUAGUUUGUUGGUGGGGUAAUGGCCUACCAAGACUUUGAUCAAUAGCUGAUUUGAGAGGAUGAUCAGCCACAUUGGGACUGAGACACGGCCCAAACUCCUACGGGAGGCAGCAGUGGGGAAUCUUGCACAAUGGAGGAAACUCUGAUGCAGCGAUGCCGCGUGAGUGAAGAAGGCCCUUGGGUUGUAAAGCUCUUUCGUCGGGGAAGAAAAUGACUGUACCCGAAUAAGAAGGUCCGGCUAACUUCGUGCCAGCAGCCGCGGUAAUACGAAGGGACCUAGCGUAGUUCGGAAUUACUGGGCUUAAAGAGUUCGUAGGUGGUCGAAAAAGUUGGUGGUGAAAUCCCAGAGCUUAACUCUGGAACUGCCAUCAAAACUUUUCAGCUAGAGUAUGAUAGAGGAAAGCAGAAUUUCUAGUGUAGAGGUGAAAUUCGUAGAUAUUAGAAAGAAUACCAAUUGCGAAGGCAGCUUUCUGGAUCAUUACUGACACUGAGGAACGAAAGCAUGGGUAGCGAAGAGGAUUAGAUACCCUCGUAGUCCAUGCCGUAAACGAUGUGUGUUAGACGUUGGAAAUUUAUUUUUCAGUGUCGCAGCGAAAGCGAUAAACACACCGCCUGGGGAGUACGACCGCAAGGUUAAAACUCAAAUGAAUUGACGGGGACCCGCACAAGUAGUGGAGCAUGUGGUUUAAUUCGAAGAUACGCGCAGAACCUUACCAACACUUGACAUGUUCGUCGCGACUUUAAGAGAUUAAAGUUUUCGGUUCGGCUGGACGAAACACAGUGCUGCAUGC
rnacentral:rRNA from 1 species